GAUGAAGAACGUAGCGAAAUGCGAUACGUAAUGUGAAUUGUAGAAUUCAGUGAAUCAUCGAGUCUUUGAACGCACAUUGCGCCCCCUGGUAUUCCGGGGGGCAUGCCUGUCCGAGCGUCAUUGCUGCCCUCAAGCACGGCUUGUGUGUUGGGCCUCCGUCCUCCUCCCGGGGGACGGGCCCGAAAGGUAGCGGCGGCACCGCGUCCGGUCCUCGAGCGUAUGGGGCUUCGUCACCCGCUCUUGUAGGCCCGGCCGGCGCUUGCCGACACAUCAAUCUUUUUUCCAGGUUGACCUCGGAUCAGGUAGGGAUACCCGCUGAACUUAAGCAUAUCAAUAAGCGGAGGA
rnacentral:misc_RNA from 1 species